ensembl:snRNA U6 U6 spliceosomal RNA
AUGCUCACUUUGGCAGCACAUAUACUAAAAUUGGAAUGAUACAGAGAAGAUUAACAUGGUCCCUAUACACGGAUGACAUGCAAAUUCAUGAGAGAAUGGGUGCGCCA